UUGAAUUUAAUUUUGGUUCAGAAUAAACGCUGGAAAUAUGUUUAACACAUGCAAGUUGAAUGUCUUUUUUAAGAUUUAGCGUACGAGUGAGGAAUACAAAGGUUAUUUACUUUCAGGUACGGAAUAAAAUACUGUAUAAUAGAGUAAAUCUCGCCUCCAAAUAAGCUUUUGUAGAAUUAGGUAGUUGGUAAAUUAAUGGCUUACCAAGCCAAUGAUUCUUUGUUGAUUCGCAAGAAUGUUCAACCACGCUGGGAAUGAAAAGGACCCAGUCUUUAUUUAGAAGACAGCAGUGAAGAAUUUUGGACAAUGGACGACAGUUUGAUCCAGCGAUAUUUCUUAGGUGAUGAAGGCUGUAUGGUCGUAAAACCUAUUAUUUUAGAAAGAAGAUGACGGUACUAGAAAAAAGUAUCAACCAAUUUCGUGCCAGCAGUUGCGGUAAAACGGAAGAUGCUAGCGUUAUUUAGAUUUAUUAGGCUUAAAGAGUUCGUAGGUUGUAAGAUAAUAUUAGACAUGAAAUUUCAAACCUUCACUUUGAAAUUAUGGUUAAUACCUUUUACUGGAGUUUAGCACAAGAUAAUGGAAUUUUACAAGGAGAGGUGAAAUUUGAAGAUCUGUAAAGGAAUUUCAAAAGCGAAGGCUGUUAUCUAGUUUAUUACUGACGCUGAGGUACGAAAGUAUGAGUAUCAAAAAGGAUUAGAUACCCUAUUAGUUCAUACUGUAAAUUAUGAGCAUUCAUGGUUAGCUACGGUUAGUCAUUUAGAGAAAUCGUUAAAUGCUCCGCCUGAAAAGUAUUUUCGCAAGAUUGAAAUUCAAAAAAAUUGAUGGGGGCUAAUAUAAGUGGUGGAGUAUGUUGUUUAAUGCGAUAAUGCGCGAGAAAACUUACCCGACUUUGUAAAUACAAAGGAAAAGAUUCUUAUUCUUAUAGUGGAAGUUUUGUGUUCAGGUAUUGCAUGGCUGUUGUCAAUUCGUGUUGUGAAAUGUUAGAUUAAUUUCUUAAACGAAUGGAACCCUUAUUUUUUAUUACAUUUUAUUCAUAUCUAAAUUAAAGCUAUAAAAAAAACAGCUAAUUGAUAAGUUAGAGGAAGGAAAGGAUAACAACAAGUCUUCAUGAUCCUUAUGGUUGGGGCUACAAACGUACUACAAUGGGAAUUACAAAAAGAGGCAAUUUUACGGAAAAAAGCAAAACUAUAAAAAUUCCCUAAGUUCAGAUUGAUAGCUGAAAUUCGUUGUCAUGAAGUUGGAAUCACUAGUAAUCGUAAAUCAGUAUGUUUCGGUGAACUUUUUCUUAGCCUUAUACAUACCGCCCGUCACAUCUUGAAACCGAAUUGUCUUUAAA
rnacentral:rRNA from 1 species